rnacentral:rRNA from 1 species
UACGGAGGGUGCGAGCGUUACCCGGAUUUACUGGGUGUAAAGGGUGUGUAGGCGGUCUCUCAAGUCCGAUGCUAAAGACCGAGGCUCAACCUCGGGAGUGCGUUGGAUACUGUGAGGCUAGACGGUCGGAGAGGGCAGCGGAAUUCUCGGAGUAGCGGUGAAAUGCGCAGAUACCGAGAGGAACGCCAAUAGCGAAGGCAGCUGCCUGGACGAUUGGUGACGAUGAGGCGCGAAAGCGUGGGGAGCAAACCGG